AGGGAACCUAGUGAACAACACCCACCACCAACUCUUGAACUACUCUUGUCUGGUAGAAAAGUAGGAUUUGAUCGCCACUAAUAUAUCGCACCCACGGCCCUAAAAUGCGGAUCAUGGUUUUUGCAAUAAAGGUUCGCCAAUCUAACACCCUGGGAUUCAUAGUCCUAUGACUUUGUUCUCAUUGCCACAUCAGGGCCUUGAAAGAACCAGCCCCGUUUUCAUUAGUAGAAUAGGUGUGGAAACAAAGGCCACUCAAUACAGAGAGUUGAGAUUUGCAAGUUAUUCGUGUCAGUCGUGAAAUGAACUGACGCUCCUGAUUGGCUAUUGCACAUCUGGAUAUAGUAGCCUUAUUAAAGCCAGCAAUCCUUGCAGACCUUGUCGUUAAAAGUUCGAAUACACUCACAGCACCCAAUCUUCUUUCUGAGUUACAGUCCUUAGAUUUCUCACUUCGUCAUAUAUAACAUACAUCUCUGUGACACUGCUAAUGACACAACCCAGUCAACAUCUCAGUCUCUCUCUGGUGCCAGCGAUUGUGAAGCUUGUGAGGCUGACACUAUUGAGCUAUAUUUUUGUGCCGAUAAUACUGAUUAUAUGCAAACUGGUUUACUUGAGCCUCAAACUGCUUCAAGCACUGACAACCCCGUUCUUCCUGGACCAUCAUCAUCACACUGCACUACACCAGUCAUGGAUUCAUUAGAGAUUUGUCAUGGUAUUUCUGUAGUCACCGAGCCAUGCAUUUACAUUGGCAAUUUAUUGACACCAACAAAAUCAGUUGAUGAAAAAUGAGAAGCUGUUGGUGAUCUAUGAAAUGGUGAAAUGUAUUCCUAUCUUUUUAAGCGUGUGGCUCCACCAAACAUUUUUCCUUGCACUUUUACUCGUGGGUGUAACCGCAAGUUUAACCGCCUUGAAAAAUAAUUAUGAUUAUCGUACAGCCCCAAAUUGGAUGGCAUUUUUUUGUGAUACCUUUCUUUCAGUGCAUAGUCAACGUUAUAAAGUAUUACUUGUCAACAAGUCAUUUAACUACUAAAAUUAGCUAUCAGUGAUACUUUAAGAAAACAUUCUAAGCUUGUUUAUCAUCGUGAUACUUACUAUGCAGGUUGCUGAUGCUUUGAAGGCUUCCGUUAAACAUCCAUCAUCCAGUAUAAUUGAUAUUAUUACCAACAGUGCCCUUCAAUCAUGUGUAAAU